rnacentral:lncRNA from 1 species
GUAACCAACUGCGGCCUUGACCUCCAACAGUAUCAGCAACAGAGAGGUGUGAAGUUUCCACAACAGACUUAGAGUCAGUUUAUCAUACACUUCUCUUUAGACGCUGCAGCCUUGACCUCCAUCAACAGAGUUAGAGUUAGUUUAUCAUGAGAACAUACAGACACCACUGACUGGAACCAGCUGACAGUAUCAGUUGUAAAGGCUUCAUUACUACUAACAGAAGGAAAGUUGUAGUGUUAUGUCCAUGAUGAAUGAUGUAAAGGCUUCAUUACUACUAACAGAAGGAAAGUUGUAGUGUCCAUGAUGAAUGAUGUAAAGGCUUCAUUACUACUAACAGAAGGAAAGUUGUAGUGUUAUGUCCAUGAUGAAUGAUGUAAAGGCUUCAUUACUACUAACAGAAGGAAAGUUGUAGUGUCCAUGAUGAAUGAUGUAAAGGCUUCAUUACUACUAACAGAAGGAAAGUUGUAGUGUUAUGUCCAUGAUGAAUGAUGUAAAGGCUUCAUUACUACUAACAGAAGGAAAGUUGUAGUGUUAUGUCCAUGAUGAAUGAUGUAAAGGCUUCAUUACUACUAACAGAAGGAAAGUUGUAGUGUUAUGUCCAUGAUGAAUGAUGUAAAGGCUUCAUUACUACUAACAGAAGGAAAGUUGUAGUGUCCAUGAUGAAUGAUGUAAAGGCUUCAUUACUACUAACAGAAGGAAAGUUGUAGUGUUAUGUCCAUGAUGAAUGAUGUAAAGGCUUCAUUACUACUAACAGAAGGAACGUUGUAGUGUUAUGUCCAUGAUGAAUGAUGUAAAGGCUUCAUUACUACUAACAGAAGGAAAGUUGUAGUGUUAUGUCCAUGAUGAAUGAUGUAAAGGUUUCAAUGUGUUUUAUAUUGAGCUGCUCUGUUAAAUUCUGUUUGUUCAUGUGAAAUUGGAAAUUGUAUUUUUCUAUAAUGUCAUUGUGUGUGUUUAGCUUGAGCAACACCAUUGUAUGGUUGCUAACUUGUCAAAUAAAGCUUCC